rfam:Drosophila sechellia strain Rob3c scaffold_4588 genomic scaffold, whole genome shotgun sequence.
AUUCUGGUUGAUCCUGCCAGUAGUUAUAUGCUUGUCUCAAAGAUUAAGCCAUGCAUGUCUAGUACACACGAAUUAAAAGUGAAACCGCAAAAGGCUCAUUAUAUCAGUUAUGGUUCCUUAGAUCGUUAACAGUUACUUGGAUAACUGUGGUAAUUCUAGAGCUAAUACAUGCAAUUAAAACAUGAACCUUAUGGGACAUGUGCUUUUAUUAGGCUAAAACCAAGCGAUCGCAAGAUCGUUAUAUUGGUUGAACUCUAGAUAACAUGCAGAUCGUAUGGUCUUGUACCGACGACAGAUCUUUCAAAUGUCUGCCCUAUCAACUUUUGAUGGUAGUAUCUAGGACUACCAUGGUUGCAACGGGUAACGGGGAAUCAGGGUUCGAUUCCGGAGAGGGAGCCUGAGAAACGGCUACCACAUCUAAGGAAGGCAGCAGGCGCGUAAAUUACCCACUCCCAGCUCGGGGAGGUAGUGACGAAAAAUAACAAUACAGGACUCAUAUCCGAGGCCCUGUAAUUGGAAUGAGUACACUUUAAAUCCUUUAACAAGGACCAAUUGGAGGGCAAGUCUGGUGCCAGCAGCCGCGGUAAUUCCAGCUCCAAUAGCGUAUAUUAAAGUUGUUGCGGUUAAAACGUUCGUAGUUGAACUUGUGCUUCAUACGGGUAGUACAACUUACAAUUGUGGUUAGUACUAUACCUUUAUGUAUGUAAGCGUAUUACCGGUGGAGUUCUUAUAUGUGAUUAAAUACUUGUAUUUUUUCAUAUGUUCCUCCUAUUUAAAAACCUGCACUAGUGCUCUUAAACGAGUGUUAUUGUGGGCCGGUACUAUUACUUUGAACAAAUUAGAGUGCUUAAAGCAGGCUUCAAAUGCCUGAAUAUUCUGUGCAUGGGAUAAUGAAAUAAGACCUCUGUUCUGCUUUCAUUGGUUUUCAGAUCAAGAGGUAAUGAUUAUAGAAGCAGUUUGGGGGCAUUAGUAUUACGACGCGAGAGGUGAAAUUCUCGGACCGAUGUAAGACUAUCUUAAGCGAAAGCAUAUGCCAAAGAUGUUUUCACUAAUCAAGAACGAAAGUUAGAGGUUCGAAGGCGAUCAGAUACCGCCCUAAUUUCUAACGAUAAACGAUGCCAGCUAGCAAUUGCGUGUAGCUACUUUUAUGGCUCUCUCAGUCGCUUCCUCGGGAAACCAAAGCUCACGGGCUCCGGCGGAAGUAUGGUGGCAUAGCUGAAACUAAAUGGAUUUGACGGACGGGCACCUCCAGGAUUGUAGCCUGCGGCUUAAUUAGACUCUACACGGGAAAACUUUCCUGGUCCGAUCAUAAGUGAGUAAGACAGAAUGAUAGCUCUUUCUCGGAUCUAUGGGUGGUGGUGCAUGGGCGUUCUUAGUUCGUGGAGUGAUUUGUCUGGUUAAUUCCGAUAACGAACGAGACUCAAAUAUAUUAAAUAGAUAUCUUCAGGAUUAUGGUGCUGAAGCUUUUAUAGCCUUCAUUCAUG